rnacentral:rRNA from 1 species
UGCUGGAGGUAUCAGAAGUGCGAAUGCUGACAUAAGUAACGAUAAAGCGGGUGAAAAGCCCGCUCGCCGGAAGACCAAGGGUUCCUGUCCAACGUUAAUCGGGGCAGGGUGAGUCGACCCCUAAGGCGAGGCCGAAAGGCGUAGUCGAUGGGAAACGGGUUAAUAUUCCCGUACUUGGUGUUACUGCGAAGGGGGGACGGAGAAGGCUAUGUUGGCCGGGCGACGGUUGUCCCGGUUUAAGCGUGUAGGUGUGUGUUCCAGGUAAAUCCGGUUCACUUUAACACUGAGGCGUGAUGACGAGGCACUACGGUGCUGAAGCAACAAAUGCCCUGCUUCCAGGAAAAGCCUCUAAGCAUCAGGUAACAUCAAAUCGUACCCCAAACCGACACAGGUGGUCAGGUAGAGAAUACCAAGGCGCUUGAGAGAACUCGGGUGAAGGAACUAGGCAAAAUGGUGCCGUAACUUCGGGAGAAGGCACGCUGACACGUAGGUGAAGUGAUUUACUCACGGAGCUGAAGUCAGUCGAAGAUACCAGCUGGCUGCAACUGUUUAUUAAAAACACAGCACUGUGCAAACACGAAAGUGGACGUAUACGGUGUGACGCCUGCCCGGUGCCGGAAGGUUAAUUGAUGGGGUCAGCGCAAGCGAAGCUCCUGAUCGAAGCCCCGGUAAACGGCGGCCGUAACUAUAACGGUCCUAAGGUAGCGAAAUUCCUUGUCGGGUAAGUUCCGACCUGCACGAAUGGCGUAAUGAUGGCCAGGCUGUCUCCACCCGAGACUCAGUGAAAUUGAACUCGCUGUGAAGAUGCAGUGUACCCGCGGCAAGACGGAAAGACCCCGUGAACCUUUACUAUAGCUUGACACUGAACAUUGAGCCUUGAUGUGUAGGAUAGGUGGGAGGCUUUGAAGUGUGGACGCCAGUCUGCAUGGAGCCGACCUUGAAAUACCACCCUUUAAUGUUUGAUGUUCUAACGUGGACCCGUAAUCCGGGUUGCGGACAGUGUCUGGUGGGUAGUUUGACUGGGGCGGUCUCCUCCUAAAGAGUAACGGAGGAGCACGAAGGUUGGCUAAUCCUGGUCGGACAUCAGGAGGUUAGUGCAAUGGCAUAAGCCAGCUUGACUGCGAGCGUGACGGCGCGAGCAGGUGCGAAAGCAGGUCAUAGUGAUCCGGUGGUUCUGAAUGGAAGGGCCAUCGCUCAACGGAUAAAAGGUACUCCGGGGAUAACAGGCUGAUACCGCCCAAGAGUUCAUAUCGACGGCGGUGUUUGGCACCUCGAUGUCGGCUCAUCACAUCCUGGGGCUGAAGUAGGUCCCAAGGGUAUGGCUGUUCGCCAUUUAAAGUGGUACGCGAGCUGGGUUUAGAACGUCGUGAGACAGUUCGGUCCCUAUCUGCCGUGGGCGCUGGAGAACUGAGGGGGGCUGCUCCUAGUACGAGAGGACCGGAGUGGACGCAUCACUGGUGUUCGGGUUGUCAUGCCAAUGGCACUGCCCGGUAGCUAAAUGCGGAAGAGAUAAGUGCUGAAAGCAUCUAAGCACGAAACUUGCCCCGAGAUGAGUUCUCCCUGAGACUUUAAGUCUCCUGAAGGAACGUUGAAGACGACGACGUUGAUAGGCCGGGUGUGUAAGCGCAGCGAU